rnacentral:rRNA from 1 species
AUCAUCUGUGGCUUCGGUCCGGAUGUGCCAACAGGUAACACUGUUGGUAAUUCUAUCCAUAACACCUGUGAACUGUUGGAUGCUUGCAUCCACUUUUAUACUAAACAUUAUUGUAACAAAUGUAGUCUUAUUAUAACAUAAUAAAACUUUUAACAACGGAUCUCUUGGCUCUCGCAUCGAUGAAGAACGCAGCGAAAUGCGAUAAGUAAUGUGAAUUGCAGAAUUCAGUGAAUCAUCGAAUCUUUGAACGCACCUUGCGCUCCUUGGUAUUCCGAGGAGCAUGCCUGUUUGAGUGUCAUGAAACUCUCAAACCCAAGUUUUGGAUUUCGAUCCAUGCUUGAGUUUGGAUUUGGAUGUUUGCCGGUGAUAAGCCGACUCAUCUUAAAAGUAUUAGCUAGAUCUGUCUCUAUGACUGGUUUGACUUGGCAUAAUAAGUAUUUUGCUGAGGACAUCUUCGGAUGGCCAGGACCUUGACUAUUGUCUGCUAACUAAACCAUUACUUUAAGUGCAUCUUUGGAUGUUACUCAUUGUAUAACUUUGACAUCUGGCCUCAAAUCAGGUAG